GUCAAGUGUCACUGAGAGUUCCCUUGACCACUUCAUUGGGAAAUAAUUCUUUCUGAUCAAUUAUAUAUCUUACUGAAGUGUUUGGGGGAACUCCUAGUGGCAUUUGAU
rnacentral:pre_miRNA from 1 species